AGUGAAGAAAGCAUCAAAACGGCGAACGACGGCUCACUUUUGUCGUGUGAAACAGUGAAGAAAUCAUCAAAACGCGGACACACCACACCAGGCAACAGCAGUUCCAAGUUAGGUCGAUUUCGGUAGGAAAAGUGAAGACUCUUAUUUAUUACUUCUUCAAUGGAGUUGAAGCACAGAACUGCUCGCUCCUUAGUCUCCAAACUCAGCUCCGUCUUUGAGCAAACCCGGGCUCGAGCGAUGCCGAUUGAUAGUUAAUAAUCAUUUUGAAAGACGGGAGAGUGGGAAUAGUGGAGGAUGCGACGGCUGUAAUAACGCAAAUUGCGGGGUGCGAGGAGAGGGACAGUGAAUUUGCGAAAUUUUCGGGUUUUGGUUGACUUGUUGGAUGUAGGGACGGGGUCGAAUGGGAGAAUAAAGGAGAACGCGGUUGCGGCAUUGUUGAAUUUGGUGAGUUGUGGAGGGGAAAGAGUGGUGGAGGAUGUGAAGCAUUUGGCGGCGGCAGUUGUGGAGGGGAUUAAGGAAGUGGCGGUGAAUGGAAGCGCCAAAGGGAAGACUAAGGAUAUUGCAUUGAUGAAGGUGAUUGAGGGUGGAUCAAGCAAUUGGAGUAAACAGUUUGAUUCUUUACUUGAUCAAUCUUCAUGAAUUGUGCAUUGGUCAGUUUGUUCUUUGUCUUAUGUGAAAAAAAUUGACUUCUUGUUAGUUUGUAGAUGUAUAUUUGUUUAAAUUAGCUUAUGAAUAGCGCAUAAAAGGGAAAACAGAGAAAUUUGGAUUGGUAAUCAAAUGAUAAUGAUGUUGGUGUUAUUGUCAAAUUCUUCUCUCUUAUACUGUCCAACUUUUUGGGGAAGUUCAAUUCCUUAAAUUCUUUUUUCAUAGUCUUUGUGAAUUAAUUUUGUUGUUUAUGAUUCUUUAUCAUUGAUGAACCUUGUGAUGCACAUGCUUCAGAGAGAAAAGGUGAACAACUGUAGUGCAGACAUAUAAAUGCAAGGGCAACUGGCAAUAUGGACUGCCAUUUCUUUCUUUAUUCA
rnacentral:misc_RNA from 1 species